UACGUAGGGUGCAAGCGUUGUCCGGAUUUAUUGGGCGUAAAGAGCUCGUAGGCGGUCUGUUGCGUCGGCUGUGAAAACCCGGGGCUCAACUCCGGGCCUGCAGCCGAUACGGGCAGACUAGAGUUCGGCAGGGGAGACUGGAAUUCCUGGUGUAGCGGUGAAAUGCGCAGAUAUCAGGAGGAACACCGGUGGCGAAGGCGGGUCUCUGGGCCGAUACUGACGCUGAGGAGCGAAAGCGUGGGGAGCGAACAGG
rnacentral:rRNA from 1 species